rnacentral:rRNA from 1 species
UUAAGCUAAGAAGAGCGUAGGGAGAAUGCCUUGGCAUUAGGAGCCGACGAAGGACGUGAUAAGCUGCGAUAAGCUGCGGGGAUCAGCAAGUAUGAAUUGAUCCGCAGAUUUCCGAAUGGAGCAAUCCGUAUGUGUAUGCACAUACAUCAUAUACUGAAUCAAAUAGGUAUAUGAGGGGAACCGCCUGAACUGAAACAUCUAAGUAGGGCGAGGAAGAGAAAUCAACCGAGAUUCUGUGAGUAGUGGCGAGCGAAAGCGGAAGAGGCUAAACCAUAGGUAGCAAUACUUAUGGGGUUUCGGACAGCAUUUAGUAUUGAUAAUUUCUAGUUGAAACGUGUGGGAAAACGUACCGAAGAGUGUGAGAGUCACGUAAGCGAAAGAGAAAGUCAGCGAGCUGUAUCCAAAGUACCGCGGGACACGUGAAACCCCGUGGGAAGAUGGGGGGACCAUCCUCCAAGCCUAAAUACUACCUAAUGACCGAUAGCGAAUAGUACUGUGAAGGAACGGUGAAAAGAACCCCGGGAGGGGAGUGAAAAAGAACCUGAAACCCUAUGCUUACAAGCACCGAGAGCACGUCAAAGUGUGAUCGGGUACCUUUUGUAGAAUGGUCCGGCGAGUUAUUGUAUGCGGCAAGGUUAAGUGCUUAAGGCACGGAGCCGAAGCGAGAGCAAGUCUGAAUAGGGCGAAAAAGUCGUAUGCAAUAGACCCGAAACCGAGUGACCUAUCCAUGUCCAGGCUGAAGUGGAGGUAAAACUCCAUGGAGGGCCGAACACACGUCCGUUGAAAAGGCCGGUGAUGAGGUGUGGAUAGCGGAGAAAUUCCAAUCGAACUCGGAUAUAGCUGGUUCUCUCCGAAAUAGCUUUAGGGCUAGCCUCGUGAAAGAUUACUGGAGGUAAAGCACUGAAUGGGCUAGGGGUCGAAAGAUUACUGAACCCUAUCAAACUAAGAAUGCCAGAUAAUUGAUUCACGGGAGUCAGACAAUGUGAGAUAAGUCUCAUUGUCAAAAGGGAAACAGCCCAGACCCACAGCUAAGGUCCCUAAACAUUGUUAAGUGGAAAAGGAUGUGGGGUUGCAUAAACAACCAGGAUGUUGGCUUAGAAGCAGCCACUCAUUAAAAGAGUGCGUAAUAGCUCACUGGUCGAGUGACCCUGCGCCGAAAAUUCAACGGGGCUAAACAAUGUACCGAAGCUUGGGAUUCUAAAGUAAUUUAGAGUGGUAGGAGAGCGUCGAAUAAGGGGUGAAGUCAGAGCGGAAGCGCUGGUGGACUUUAUUCGAGUGAGAAUGCCGGAAUGAGUAGCGAGAAUUAUGUGAGAAUCAUAAUGGCCGAAAAUCUAAGGUUUCCUGAGGAAGGUUCGUCCGCUCAGGGUAAGCCGGGGGCUAAGGCGAGGCGGAGACGCGUAGCCGAUGCACAUACGGUUGAAAUUCCGUAGCCACCGAAAGAUUUAAGUACAGGGACGCUUUAGAAGUGAUGUAGCCGGGCGAUGGUUGACCCGGUCGUAAGGGAUCGAAAAUGAGUAGAGAAGUCAUCAUGGAAAGAGACAAGAAAAGCUGUAUGAAUAUCUUAGGUGCCCGUACCGCAAACCGACACAGGUAGAUAGGAAGAAGAUUCUAAGGCCAACGGGAGAAGGGUUGUUAAGGAACUCGGCAAGUUGACCCCGUAACUUAGGGAUAAGGGGUGCUCAAGUGAUUGAGCCGCAGAGAAUAGGCCCAGGCGACUGUUUAGCAAAAACACAGGUCUCUGCUAAAUCGAAAGAUGACGUAUAGGGGCUGACACCUGCCCGGUGCCGGAAGGUUAAGAGGAGAUGUGAGAGCAUUGAAUUGAAGCCCCGGUAAACGGCGGCCGUAACUAUAACGGUCCUAAGGUAGCGAAAUUCCUUGUCAGGUAAGUUCUGACCCGC